rnacentral:lncRNA from 1 species
UGGGACUUUGUGGAUACCCAUAUAUCUUGAAGCACUUAUCAAUUAAGUGUCCAGACUUUUUACAGUAUCGACAAAAUAAAUGUCCCCUGGUUUGAUCAAAACUGACUCUCUGUCUAAGAGGAGGAGGGGGAACAGACACUGUGGCCUUGUUAAAUCCAACAGGCUGCCUGUUUGUAUGCACAUCGAAAGAGACAGAGGUUGGAUCAAAUUGAGAGGAAGACUGAACUUGUCUUUGCUUCUCAUCAUU